rnacentral:rRNA from 1 species
UACGUAGGGGGCAAGCGUUGUCCGGAAUCAUUGGGCGUAAAGAGCGUGUAGGCGGCCCGAUAAGUCCGCUGUGAAAGUCCAGGGCUCAACCCUGGGAUGCCGGUGGAUACUGUCGGGCUAGAGUGCGGAAGAGGCGAGUGGAAUUCCUGGUGUAGCGGUGAAAUGCGCAGAUAUCAGGAGGAACACCUAUUGCGAAGGCAGCUCGCUGGGACGUAACUGACGCUGAGACGCGAAAGCGUGGGGAGCAAACAGG